rnacentral:rRNA from 1 species
AUGAGCCCGGCCACUGUCGUUGAAUAUGUCGAACUGUGGCGGCGAAUCCAGCACGUGCAACUUACCGUUGACCCUGACGGAGUCACUUGGAAGUGGACUGCCAAUGGCAUCUAUACAGCCGGCUCGGCCUACUAGGCCUUGUUUGCCGGAUCGAUGAGUUCCCCCUUUUGGCGGCUCAUAUGGCGAUGUUGGGCUCCUUCCAAUGCCAAGUUCUUUUUAUGGCUCGCCUUCAUGGACCGUUGCUGUUCCGCCGAGCGGCGUGCUCUCCAUGGACUCCCGCAUGAUCCUCUCUGCAAAUUCUGCUGCCAAGAGCUCGAGAUAAUCGAUCACAUCCUAGUCCAUUGCGCUUUCUCCAGAAUUACAUGGCACGAAAUCCUCUCUUGGUGUAGACUGCCUGCUUCAUCCCUGGCCACCUCAACGACCCUCUACACCUGGUGGUCUGCCACUGCCACUGCCACCCCUACCAGUCUUCACAAAGGUGCAAACUCCAUCAUCGCCCUACUCGCCUGGUCCUUAUGGAAGCACUGCAACUCCGCGGUCUUCAACAACAUUCAGGUGUCUAGCAACGAUCUAGUGUGCACAAUCCGUGAUGAGGCUUGCCUGUGGGACCGUGCUGGUGCCAAAGGCCUGGGACUAAUUAUCCUCGUAUUGUAA